rnacentral:rRNA from 2 species
GGGUGCGAUCAUACCAGCACUAAUGCACUGGAUCCCAUCAGAACUUCGCAGUGAAGCCUGCUUGGGCGAGAGUAGUACUAGGAUUGGUGACCUCCCGGGAAGUCCUUGUUGGGGUCA